rnacentral:lncRNA from 1 species
CUCACCUGGGAUGUCGCUCCUUCCUGGUAUUUCCAUGCCAUCCCCAGCACCCAUCUGUUAUGGAGAAAACAGUCCCAGGGUGUGUUUUUGCUCAGUCGUCCAUCUCAUCUCUCCCUGAAACACAGGGCGUUCAACCUCUGCCUCCGUUUCCCCUUCUCGGAGCCACGGAGUCAGUGCCAAAGCCUUUGCUAUGCAUCCCUCAGGCCUCCUGCUGGCACUGACCCUGGAAUGACCGCUGUCACUUCUUGUCCCCAUAGUCUAUACCCGGUGCGUUGAGGGCUAGGAGCAAAACUGCCUGUCUCCUUCCCAUCUCCAUUCCAUCCCUGCUUUUGAUUUUCUGUCUUCCUUGUGGCCAAGCCGGUUGCCAUGGAAACGAGGCCACGCGUCCUCCUCGCCAGCCGGCCGCCCCGCCUCAGACCCAGGGUGCCCCUUGGCACCCCUUUCACCCUCCUCCAGCAUGUCCUGCUGUCCCGACAGCCCAGGGGCGUGCAAAGUGGGGGCAGCUGCAGCCAGCAGGUCUGCCCACCCCCUUCAGUUCAGGUAAUACUGUCGUGAAUCUUCCAGCCGCUGGUUAGGGCCCUGGGC